rnacentral:rRNA from 1 species
AGAAUCCUCAGAGACUAUACGUCGAACCGCAGCACAUAAAGCGUUAUGUGCUCGGAAGAUAUAGUCCGAACUGUAUGGCGACAUACAGAUCCGAAAAAGUUUCGGAACCCCGUAGCUGCGGGGUUAACAAACAAAUAGAAAUAUAUUGAGCAAAAUACCUUGUCGGGUAAUUGAAUUGCCCAUGUCGACCAGCAAUGGCGGCAGUGAAUUCGGCUUAUAACGGUGAAGUCCUCGCUGGAGACCCAGAUCAAGGCUGGGUCGCAGAGAGCAGGAUAAUACCGUGGGAAGUCGCCGAAGCACAUAAAUUUUAUGUGCUCGGUUGACCCCGUAACGACUUGACCCUAACGGGUCGGAGUAAAGUUUUUAAAGCUUUGCUAAUAUGCCGACACCCCAUUAAUUUAUUGGGGUAGAAGAUAUAGUCUGUACCAUUAGAAAUAAUGGAUUAAUAUGAAGUUCCGACGCGCAUGAAAGGAGUAACGACUUGGCGACUGUCUCAACGAGGGGCCCGGUGAAGAUGCAAUUCCGGUAAAGAUGCCGGAUACCUGCAGCAAGACGAAAAGACCCCGGAAGCUUUACUGCAGCUUGGUAUUGGGCUUGGCGUCUUGAUGCGUAGCGUAGUGGGGAGGAUUUGAAGCCCCGUUUUCGGACGGGGUGGAUCCGCCAAUGAAACACCCACCUUUAAGAUGCUUUGUUCUAACUACGUUUCUCGCUAUUGCGCGACACUCAUACUAACAUAAAAACAUAUUAACAUUUUAACAAAAUGCGAAGGUAUAAUGUUCAAAUGUUUAAAUGCUAAAAUGUUAAAAUGAAGUGGCUCGCGUCAGCGAGGAACGUAAGAAAGUGCCAGGUAGGCAGUUUUAGUGGGGCGCUAGCCUCCUAAAGAGUAACGGAGGCGUUUAUUAAGGUUGACUAGCUCCGGAUGGAAAUCGGAGCGAUAGGGUAAAGCCAUAAGUCAGCUUUACUGCAAGACGGACAUGUCGCGCAGUUACGAAAGUAGAACUUAGUGAACCGAUCAUUAUGUCAGUGCUUCGCACUGACACGCGAAAAAACGCAAAUCAAUAGUCGCAAAGAAAACGCAAAUCAGUUAGCGUAAAAAUUUGCGGAUAUGGAUUUUGCGUGAAUUGGCGUGCCAAAGCGAAGCAUUGGCUCUUCAUAGAAAGGUGAAAGAUCAUCGGCUAAAAGCUACUCCGGGGAUAACAGGCUGGUAGUAUCCAAGAGUCCAUAUCGACGAUACUGUUCGGCACCUUAACCAUGUCCCGUACUUUGAUACGGGAAAAUCGGGGUGCUACAUUAGUAAUAAUGUAUCCCGUAACACACCAGUAAAGAACAAAAAACGGGAAAGUAGUGGCUUAUAACGGUGGACUCCAUAACUAUGUUCAAUUACAAUCAAGUUAUGGACAAUGCCGUGGGAAGUCUACAAGUAAAUUCAAAAGUCAAAAAUCAAAAUGCAAAAUGACAAUAUAAAAUGUAAAAUUUUGGAUUUUGAAUUGUAAUUUUGAUUUUUUCAUUUUAAACUUUGAAUUUUUUGUAUGACCCUGUAGAGACUUACUCCGCAGUUGCGGGGUAGAGUUUGCCAAAUGCGGCAAGCUAAUACGCCAACCCCCCACUUUUUUUAAAAAAGCGGGGGUGAAGAUAUAGUCCAUACCAUUAGUAAUAAUGGAGAAAUAUACGAUGUCGGCUCAUCUCAUCCUGGGGGUGAAGAAGCUCCCAAGGGUUUGGCUGUUCGCCAAUUAAAGAGGUACGUGAGCUGGGUUCAAACCGUCAACCAACACAUAUUUGCUGUUAGAAUAUGUGUGGCGGCUCCUGGUAGUGAUAUCAGGAUGCAAAAAUCGACUCAUAACGGUGAAGCCCGAACGCGCAUUCAACCUGAGCGCGAGGGUAAUACCGUGGGAAGUCUGCAUUAUUUUGUCAUUCUGAACGAAGUGAAGAAUCUUUAUGACAAUAUUUGUAUGACCCCGUAGAGACUGAGUCCCGUAAAUUGCGGGACGAGAGUCGUCCACGAUUAUUAUAUCGGGACGGCUAACACGUCGAUCCUCUUAUAAUUUGUAAGAGGGUGGUAUAGUCCAUACACUUAGUAAUAAGUGACAAAUUACGAUAUAAAUCGUAAAGAAUAUGCGUGAGACAGGUUGGUCUCUAUCUGCUGCAGGCGUGGAUAUUUGAGGGGAGUUCUCUCUAGUACGAGAGGACCGAGAGGAACAGACCGCUGGUGUGCCAGCUGCACUGCCAAGUGCAUCGCUGGGUAGCUAUGUCUGGACCGGAUAAGCGCUGAAAGCAUCUAAGCGCGAAGCCGACCCCAAGAUUAGAUAUCAUAGAUUCCUUGUAGAUUACGAGGUUGAUAGGCUCUAGGUGUAAGCGCAGCAAUGCGUUGAGCCGAGGAGUACUAAUAAAUCAUUCUUGCUCUG